AGUUUGACGUUUCAUAACCUCUAAACUUUAUUUUCAUUUACUUUUUCUACCCGCCGGACAUGCAAGGCGCUCGGAAAUAGCGCAAAUAACAUUGCAAUUCUAAUAUAUUGCUUGUAAACUGUUCAAUUUACGUGCCAAGUGCAACUUUCAGUGAUAAAACCGUGCUGUGCAGUUAGUUCGUGCGGCCGUCGCUUCAAAUAGUUUCUUUGUAAGACCACCAUGUCUCGAGACCGGACCUCCCGUCGGUUCUACCGAGCUGACUCCACCCAUGACCUGCUCUCCUUCAUGGAUCGAGGAGCGGCCGCCAGCGACGAGAACAGGUGGACCUUCGAGACUGCCUGGGAGGCCGCCAAUAAAGUGGGCGGUAUCUACACUGUAAUCAGAUCUAAGGCAUAUGUCUCUACCGAAGAAAUGGGAGAAAAUUAUUGCUUGCUCGGACCCUACAAGGAGCAGUGCGCACGUACGGAGGUGGAGGAGGCCGACUUCCCCCCCAACUCCCCUCUCCACGCCGCUGUGACCGAGAUGAGGAACCAGGGGUACAAGCUCCGCACAGGCACGUGGUUGGUUGAUGGCAACCCCCAGAUCAUCCUGUUCGACAUCGGCUCAGGCGCAUGGCGGAUGGACGGAUACAAGCAGGAACUGUGGGACACAUGCUCCCUGGGCAUCCCACACCUGGACAUUGAGGCGAACGACGCCGUCAUACUGGGCUUCAUGGUGGCGCAGUUCAUUACUGAGUUCAGGAAAGCAGCUGAGAAUUACGCCGACACGCCGCCAAGGGUGGUGGCUCACUUCCACGAGUGGCAAGCGGGCAUCGGCCUUAUUGUGUUGAGAUGUCGCCACGUCGACGUAGCUACGGUGUUCACGACGCAUGCAACUUUGUUGGGGAGAUAUCUUUGCGCUGGGAGCACAGAUUUCUAUAACAAUUUAGAUAAGUUCUCAGUGGACGAGGAAGCGGGAAAGAGACAAAUAUACCACCGGUACUGCAUGGAGCGAGCGGCCGCACAUAUGACGCACAUCUUCACCACCGUAUCGGAUAUUACUGGUUACGAAGCCGAGCACCUUCUCAAGCGUAAACCGGACAUCAUAACGCCAAAUGGGCUGAACGUGAAGAAAUUCUCAGCUCUCCACGAGUUCCAGAACCUCCACGCUUUGGCCAAGGAGAAGAUACAUGAGUUUGUCAGAGGACACUUCUAUGGACAUUUCAACUUCGACCUGGACAAGACUCUCUACUUCUUCAUAGCUGGUCGCUACGAGUUCGGAAAUAAGGGAGCGGACAUCUUCAUUGAGGCUUUAGCUAGGCUCAACCACUACAUGAAGUCGUCCGGCUCGGAGUACACGGUGGUGGCGUUCCUGAUCUUCCCGGCGAAGACCAACAACUUCAACGUGGAGAGUCUGCGAGGCCACGCCGUCACCAAGUCACUGAGAGACACCAUCAAUGACAUACAGCAGAAAGUUGGCAAGAGGAUGUAUGAUACCUGCUUGGGAGGUCACUUACCCGACCCCGCGGAGCUUCUAACAAAGGAGGACACGGUGCGACUAAAGCGUUGUCUCUACGCGCUCCAACGCGACGGCCUACCGCCCGUAACGACACAUAACGUGGUGGAUGACUGGGCUGAUCCAGUACUGAACGGAGUCAGGAGGUGUCAGCUGUUUAACACUGUCAACGAUAAAGUUAAAGUGAUCUUCCACCCAGAGUUCCUGACGUCCACCAACCCCCUCUUCGGGUUGGAUUAUGAGGAAUUCGUGAGGGGGUGUCAUUUGGGGGUGUUUCCCUCGUACUACGAGCCGUGGGGGUACACCCCCGCCGAAUGCACUGUUAUGGGGAUACCUUCUAUAACCACCAACCUGUCAGGUUUCGGGUGUUUCAUGCAGGAGCACAUUGCGGACCCAAUGUCGUACGGUAUCUAUGUUGUGGACCGCCGUUACAUCUCUCUAGAAGGCUCCGUUCAACAACUGGCUCAGUAUAUGUUCGACUUUACAAAACUGACCCGGCGACAGCGUAUCAUUCAGCGAAACAGAACAGAGCGAUUGUCUGACCUGAUGGACUGGAGAAACCUCGGCAUUUAUUACCGCCAGGCGCGCGCCAACGCCCUGAAGAUGGUGUAUCCUGACUACGUGGACCACAUGGACCGCGAGCUCGGCAAGCAGUUCAACUACCCGCGCCCCAUCUCCGAGCCACCCAGCCCUACGCAUUCCAAAUGCACGACCCCAGCAGCAUCAGUGCACGGGUCUGAUGAUGAAGAUGAAGUGGAUGAGGAAAACGAAUUGGCAGAACUGAGGAUCCAGUGAGACAAGGUAUAAAAAAAAUAUAGUUUUUUUUUAAUCAUCGAGAAUUGUAGUACAGUCAUGAGCAAUAUAAUGUACCCACUUUAGGACUCUGUCGCACUAACAUAUUUGACAUUUAGUGAGAUGUACAGUUCAAUUUGUCAAAAAAGUUAAUGUGGCAUGGUACCAAAGUGUAUACAUAUUAAUGCUCGUGACCGUACGUGGAUCUUAGAUCAAGAGUUCUCUAGUCGUCGUCAUAUUGUAUAAUCACGCGUGUAUUCCUGCCAGGGUGGGCAGAGUUGAAGUCUCAAUUAACAGAAUCCGUCGCCUUCUUCUGUCGUGUGGGUUGUGAUUUGGAAUACCAACCUCAUCAACCCUGGUGUCAGGGUUAGUAUUGAGCCGCCAAAGGCCCCUGACAUGGCUCAUGUAACGACUACUUACAUCAGUAAGUAGCGGGACCAACGGCUUAACGUGCCUUCCGAAGCACGGAUCAUCUUACUUUCGGACAAUCAGGUGAUCAGCCUGUAUUGUCCUAACCAAACUAGGGAUCACAAAAUGAUUUUUGUGAUAUGUCCCCACCGGGAUAUGAACCCGGGACCUUCGGAUCGUGAGCUUGACGCUAGCUAUUCCUGGUAUUCGUUCUAAGAUGGAUAUUAUGAUGAACUGACAACUUAACAAAAAAAAAAAUAAAAAAAAAAUGCGAUGUUUUUAUUGGUAACUUAUGUCGAUCUUUUAUCUAAAGAACUUCUUGAUCUGAGAUGUAGAUAGAAAAAAAAAAACAAUUAUUUACUCUUUUUGUAAUGUUCUUAAAAAAAAAAUGAUUUAAUGAAAUAUUGUGUUCUCUAAAUUAAGUCAAAAUUUAUUUUUUAUAUACUUUUUUAUUAAUUUUUAAUUAUUUUUUUAGGCCAGUAUAUGAUUGUUAUGUGAACUUUAGAAUUGUCAACAUUGCCAACAAAAGUACCUCGGAAAAAAAGAUAAAAUUUUAUUUUUCUAAGUAGUUCCUUCUAUAUACUUUGAUAGUAUUUUUAUCUGUAUAUUCGAAAUGAUAUACAGGGUGUUAGUCACAUCAUACCGAAUACUAAGGGUGUUGCUUCAGACCAUGAUUCUGAGUUAAUAUCAAGUGGAAUUUACCAUCGCAAAAUUCAUGAUUUUUUUGUGCUUUUUUAAAUUAUUUUCAAUUCGACACUUUUUGCGAUGGAAAAUCCACUUGAUAUUAACUCAGAAUAAUGAGGUGAAUCAUCCCCCUCAGUAUUCGUUACGAUGUCACUUACACCCUGAAUACAAAGAAAUCGACAUUUUAAUCUGAAAAAUAAUGUCUGACAUAAAAAAUGUGAAAAAAAAAUGUUCCUUUUAUAAAAUUGCAAUAUUUUAACAUAUAAUAAUAUAAGUUUUGCACUUUUUAAGUUUAAGCACACAGAAAUAUAAAAUGCUGUCAUAAAAACAUAAAACAGCCUAUAAAGACGUCGUAACGAAAACUUUGACGGAUGAUUCAGACCAUGGUUCUGUGUUGUAUAUAUCAAGUUGUGUAUAUCAAGUGGAAUUUUCCGUCGCAAAAGUAUGGAACUGAAAUUAAUUAAAAAAAAAAAACAAAAAACCUUCAUGAAAUUUCCGACAGGAAAUUCCACUUGAUAUCAACUCAGAGUCAUGGUCUGAAUCAUCCCCCUCAGUAUUCGUUACGAUGUCACUAACACCCUGUAUAAUUCUGUAAAAUAAAUUGCACUGGGUGUGAUGUGGCCAUUCUGUUUGUCUUCUACACUGCGCUCUUCGAACCAACCCUUUAGCAUAUUUAUGUAUAAAACAUAUAUUUACAUCAAGUUUAUCUACAUAGAAUUUUACAUAAAAAUAUUGUGUUAUACAAUAGAAAAAAGAUUUUAAAAUAAUAAUUUAGAAUUGAUUUUAAAGUUAGGAAGCCUUCCUUACUGCCACCUUUGUAAUCUUUGCACAAAUUGGUGCAAUUUUUGCACAACUUUGUGGCACAACAAACUGUUUGUGCUGGUAAUGCUCUUCGAUUCGGUAGUAUAUCAAGUUGUUUGGAAUUAUACUUGUUGUGAAAGAAUGCGUCAAUCUACAUGAAAUGUUUUCACAAAUUCAUCAUCAUCAUCAUCAUGUCGUCCAAACCGUAUCCGGCGACGGCGACUCCUAAAUAUCUAUCCCGGGUCGUUCUUGUGGUGGGCUCUGAUGUGGCUGGAGAAUCCCAACUUCGACUUGAAGAUCCGGUCACACGACACACAAUAAAGCUGGUCUGAUGAAUUGAGUAGUAGUUAUAGGAGGGUUACGGUCGAGUCUUCCGUAUUUGGCGCUUUGCGUCGAUAUCUUGUAAACGCUCACAAAUUGAGGUGCGCUGGAAGAAUCAUAAGCUGAGAGAGUUCCAUUCUAUAUGUUAUCUAAUAAAUGAAAUUAAUUUGGUACUUAUAACGAUAAUACUAAGGAACUCCUUAGUCUCGAGAUAUAUAAAAAACAUCACAAAUAAUAAUAAAAUACUUUAUUGCACACCACUGGAAAUGUUGUUGCAAAAUUGUGUGAAUAGGAAUAGGAAGAUAAGAAGUGAAUAGGGUUCCAACUAAUCAAAUGAACUUACAUAACAUAACAUAAACUGCCUAUAUACGUCCCACUGCUGGGCACAGGCCUCCUCUCAAUCAACCGGAGAGGGUAUGGAGCAUACUCCACCACGCUGCUCCACUGCGGGUUGGUGGAGGUGUUUUUUUACGGCUAAUAGCCGGGACCAACGGCUUAACGUGCCCUCCGAAGCACGGAAUCAACUUACUUUUUCGGACAAUCAGGUUAUUCAAGCCUGAAAAGUCCUUACCAAACAAAGGACAGUCUCACAAAGUGAUUUCGACAAUGUCCCCAUCGGGAAUCGAACCCGGACCUCCAGAUCGUGAGCCUAACGCUCUUACCACUAGACCACGGAGGCUGUUAUGUUAUGAUGGCAAAUGAACUUACUUUUUACUAAACGUCAAAACACGAAAUUACUUUGGAAUUUGUAUGAAAAAGCACACUGUGACGUCAUAGACAAACAUGACAAAAUGUCGCAUUUAUUACUACAAUUUUCUUUAUUAAUAUUCAUAAAUAAGUUAAAUAGAAAAAAGAAAACGUUUUAUGUCACCUUUAGAUCUGUCCUUAUUUAGUAAUCAGAAUAUCAUAAUUUAUCUUUGACCUAGGAGUACCCAAUUUUCCUAAUUUGCCAAACCGAAACGGCUUUUGCACAAAUUUGUGCAAAUUAUGACAAACUUGUGCAGCACCAAUAAGUGCAAAGAUUUAGUUUUAAGUCUGAAGCGAAUUUUGCAAUUGGAAUUUGUCCAUUGUCUUUUAUUAUUGUGCCAUACGAUCCGGAAUUGUUAUUUAGUGGUUUAGAAAUAAAUAAAUUGUGUUAAAAGAU
rnacentral:misc_RNA from 1 species